rnacentral:rRNA from 1 species
UAGUCAUAUGCUUGUCUCAAAGAUUAAGCCAUGCAUGUCCAAGUAUAAAUCUUUAUACGGUGAAACUGCGAAUGGCUCAUUAAAUCAGUUAUAAUUUAUUUGAUAGUACCUUACUACUUGGAUAACCGUGGUAAUUCUAGAGCUAAUACAUGCAUCAAGGCCCAACUUUUUGAAGGGCUGUAUUUAUUAGGUUAAAACCAAUGCUAGUCAAAUAGCUUCAUGGUGAUUCAUAAUAACUUCUCGGAUCGUAUGACCUUGUGUCGACGACGUAUCAUUC